GCCUAGUUAGCUUAUUUGGUAGUGCGUCUGCCUUGUAAGCGCUAGGCCGCGGGUUCGAUUCCCGCCCGGGGCG
rfam:Asian citrus Psyllid, Diaphorina citri - Florida Strain, whole genome shotgun sequence.